CUGAACUGGGUGACUCGAGUGUGUCAGAGGGAGGUAGAAUUCCACGUGUAGCAGUGAAAUGCGUAGAGAUGUGGAGGAAUACCGAUGGCGAAGGCAGCCUCCUGGGACAACACUGACGUUCAUGCCCGAAAGCGUGGGUAGCAAACAGGAUUAGAUACCCUGGUAGUCCACGCCCUAAACGAUGUCAAUUAGCUGUUGGGCAACCUGAUUGCUUGGUAGCGUAGCUAACGCGUGAAAUUGACCGCCUGGGGAGUACGGUCGCAAGAUUAAAACUCAAAGGAAUUGACGGGGACCCGCACAAGCGGUGGAUGAUGUGGAUUAAUUCGAUGCAACGCGAAGAACCUUACCUGGUCUUGACAUGUACGGAAUCCUCUGGAGACGGAGGAGUGCCUUCGGGAGCCGUAACACAGGUGCUGCAUGGCUGUCGUCAGCUCGUGUCGUGAGAUGUUGGGUUAAGUCCCGCAACGAGCGCAACCCUUGUCAUUAGUUGCCAUCAUUCAGUUGGGCACUCUAAUGAGACUGCCGGUGACAAGCCGGAGGAAGGUGGGGAUGACGUCAAGUCCUCAUGGCCCUUAUGACCAGGGCUUCACACGUCAUACAAUGGUCGGUACAGAGGGUAGCCAAGCCGCGAGGCGGAGCCAAUCUCACAAAACCGAUCGUAGUCCGGAUUGCACUCUGCAACUCGAGUGCAUGAAGUCGGAAUCGCUAGUAAUCGCAGGUCAGCAUACUGCGGUGAAUACGUUCCCGGGUCUUGUACACACCGCCCGUCACACCAUGGGAGUGGGGGAUACCAGAAGUAGGUAGGAUAACCGCAAGGAGUCCGCUUACCACGGUAUGCUUCAUGACUGGGGUGAAGUCGUAACAAGGUAGCCGUAGGGGAACCUGCGGCUGGAUCACC
rnacentral:rRNA from 1 species